UACGUAGGUGGCAAGCGUUGUCCGGAUUUACUGGGCGUAAAGAGCGCGCAGGCGGUCGUUCAAGUCGCGUGUGAAAGCCCCCGGCUCAACUGGGGAGGGUCACGCGAUACUGAUCGACUCGAAGGCAGGAGAGGGUAGUGGAAUUCCCGGUGUAGUGGUGAAAUGCGCAGAUAUCAGGAGGAACACCAAUAGCGAAGGCAGCUCGCUGGGACGGUACUGACGCUGAGGCGCGAAAGCGUGGGGAGCAAACAGG
rnacentral:rRNA from 1 species